UCUCAAACUCUAUCACUAACUGCAUCAUAUUGCAGAUAUAAAGGGAACCAGGUUCGUGCUAAAGUAACUGCAGUGAAUAGAAACAGACUAACUUCAGAUCCUACAGAGGAAGACUAUUCUAUUCUAGUACUGGG